rnacentral:tRNA from 1 species
ACUUCUUAAGUUUUAUAAUACAUUAGGUUGCAAACCUAAAAAUCAUAGAAGUA